rnacentral:rRNA from 1 species
UACAGAGGGGGCAAGCGUUGUUCGGAAUUACUGGGCGUAAAGGGCGCGUAGGCGGCCUGCUAAGUCGAACGUGAAAUCCCUGGGCUCAACCCAGGAACUGCGUCCGAUACUGGUUGGCUUGAAUCCGGGAGAGGGAUGUGGAAUUCCAGGUGUAGCGGUGAAAUGCGUAGAUAUCUGGAGGAACACCGGUGGCGAAGGCGACAUCCUGGACCGGCAUUGACGCUGAGGCGCGAAAGCCGGGGGA